AAGAUGAAUAGGGAAAAGGAAAGUGAGGAGUCACAAGCUUCAAAGCCAAAUCCAUUGAUUCCCAUUUCCUCCGACUGUAGGUUGGAGAUGACUGCCGACAAGAUUUACUUGCUUUGCAAGUUAUUUCACUUUUGAAGGACAUCUUUGAAGCUAUUGAUCUUUGCUUCUGUUUCUUUCCUUUGUGGAGUACUCCCAUCUGGCCCUAAGAGAGGAAUUAUUGAGGCAUCAAUUCCACUUUGGGUAUGGUGGAUAAGCUUGCUGCUUCUGCUAACCAUAACUCUUAUCGUGCAUGCUGAUAGGUGCACUCUGCUCGCUAACGCCCUUGCCACUACCCCCCUUAUGGGGGUAAGGGUAAGCAACAAUAAGCGUUAUGUGGAACUGUUAUAAUUUAUUAAUCUUGAUUUAUCAUUCUUCCAUUCUGUUUUUCAUUGUUCUAACACUAAGGUAAUGUGUAUUAGCUUAUGCUCUUGUCUCAACUGGCCUAGUAAAUCUCAGAUAUAAAUUCGUUAACGCCGAUGAUUGCUGGGCUGAAAUCUCUUUGAGAUGAAAGGGUUCAUAACUUUUGCAGUGUUUUAAUUCUGGAUAUUGGCGGAUGUCCCUGAUACAAAAACACUACAAGAUUUAGUUACAUAGAUUUACUAUUAGUAUAUAUAAUGUCGUUUCAUGCCUUUUGAGGUAAAGACUUAGAGUGCACGAUGAAAUUGCUCAUUGUAAUUAGUUAGUAAACAAUAAUAUUAAUUUUUUU